CUUCAUUUAAUAUACAACGAGAAGAAGUCCGGUUCGCCCGUCCGGCAGCAAAGCGCUCUGUUUCCUAAACUUGUACAGUCCAUAUCAUAUAACCUUAUUACUACAGUACUAAUCCAUGUGCUUUACUAAGAGUGUUUUAGACGUGAUCUCGUUCAAGAACUUAAGUUGCUGUAUGUUAUUUAUUAUAUCUUCAUAACUGCCCUUCCCUUUAUGAUAACAACCCUGGCGUUUCCCAGUUUUGAUGGCUGUUAUCUCCCCAAGCAAGAGAGUGUAUUUGUGCACCUUUUGCUGGAUGAACUUGAUGGGUACAUACAGAGGCUUGACAGAAAAAAUGUCUUGGUGUUUCCACCGUUGCCAAGCCGACUACGCUUUUUGAUCCACAAGACGACCGAGUCCCACUCAGAACUGGCCACCUUCUCAGUAGGGGAGGACUGGAGUCGCCGGGUGGUGGUGUGCUUUUCAGAGCAACGGUGCUAUGUAGAUGAUGCUUGUGACCCAGAGAAUAACCCCAGCUGUUCUGUGGGUGAGGCAGCACUAACCCCGAGGAACAGAGGUCACAUGGACAAAGCCCACGUUAAUCCCCCUCCCAGCCGGAGACGAACCAGAGCCUCCAAGCGACCCGACAGGGCUCUCUAUACACCCCAAGCAGCCCGACAGCGAUCGUCCUUCCCACAAGACCCACCAGCACAGGGCAGAGCCCCGGAGCCGGCCAGCUUGAGCUCCUGCAGUACCACAUCGGAAUCCAAACUUUUGACUGACAAACCCAUGGUCAUGCCCUCUCAUGUUUCCAGUAUGCCCCACGACGGUACCCAUGGCGGAGAUUUCAACAGCCCAUUAAAGAAUUUGGAGACAGCAUUGCCCGAGGCGGAUCAUUUGACAUGGUCCUUCUCUUUAGAGCAGACCAUGUCUGACUUCACUGGCAUGAAACUGGAUCAGGGCAGAUGUGGGGGAAAGCCGAAGCUGGAGGAAGAGGCCGAAGGGGGUGAUAAAGAGGAAAGGGGGACGGAAAUGGCCAGCCCCUGUGAUGCAAACCUGACUGAAGACAUUAAAACGCUUAUAACUAAAUUAACCGAUGAGAUUUCCGCAGGGCUGAAGGAAACUGAUGGGGUGGUCCUUGAGUAUGCCCAUAAUGACUACUCUCCUUUUGAGACCGUGUUGAUGAAUACUACGGAAUUCGGCCAUGUGAUCGAGAUCUACGGCUUCCCGGCCGUGUUCAAGACAGAUGACCUGAUCGAUGCCUUCACAGAUUACAGUGCUGGAGGAAUGAAAAUCACAUGGGUGGAUGACACGCAUGCCCUGGCGAUUUUCUCCAGCGAGACUGCAGCACACCAUGCCCUCAGCAUCAACCAUCCGCUCCUCAAGACGCGCACACUCUCACAGGCGAGCCAGCAAUCCAAAGCUAAAGCCGGCCAAAGAGCAGAGUUCAUCCAGCCGGUGAAGGAGCGUCCAAAGACUGACUCGGCUGUUGCCAGGCGCAUGGUCACCAGGGCUCUGGGGAUACAAACAGGACGGGUCAAGCGUUACUGAAGAGGAGCCCAGAGAUCCUUGUGGACUAACAGGUUGACGGCCUAAUCUCAACUCACCUAGAUAAGCCUUUCACACAUGAACUCCGGAGAAUCAGGAGGACUUGGCAGACAUCUGGUGACAUUUAAAACAUUACAUUUUCUUGAGCUGCCAACAUCGACACUUCAGGAUUCAGUGAGGCAGUGAAGUGAACUCACUGUCACACACCACGCUGCCAACGUUCUCAUGAGCCUAAUGGAAACCUGUCUAGCAGAAUCACUCAAGGGUUCUAUAGAGUAUUUUCACCGUCAGUAUCGAUGUUUUGUUUACGUUGAUAUGUUUUUUGUCACAAGUUCAAGUGGCAAACUAUAUUUUCAGGUGUUGUCGAUGGGGGUUUUACUUUUUGCGUAAUGAUCCGUCAAUUGUUGAAUUUCAUAAAAAAAAGAAGUGUUUGUUACAAUACCCUAAUGUUAAGGAGUCAAACAUAUGUCUAUCUCACUCAAUAAAAUAUAUAUAGUGUGGAAGAAAA